CUAGCUAAUAGCCAGCAGGUAACAUUCAAACAUAUACUUCUAAUAUCAUGCUUUGAGAAUGGAGAUCGCCCUUGGCAUCUGGAUAUCUCAUAUAUAUGCAAACAUUUCCAGACUGAUAUUGCUCUUUCUAUAUUUUCCCGUUCUGAGUUUCCUCUGUGGAAAGAUAUUAAAAGACCUGAUUGUGCCACAUGUCAAGAGAUUAGAGAAUCAAGCAGUUAAAAUUCUGUUAAGCAGUUAAAGUUCUGUUAAUAAUGUUAGACAGUUAAGAAAGUUUGUUAGUAUUGAGGUGAGAAGCUUGUUCACAUCUAUAACUUGAUAUAAAAAGAUCUGUAACAGUGUAAAACAGAGUAAUGAAUUACAGUGAACACAUUCUUCUUCUUCCAUCACCUAUCAGACAUUCUCUCUGCUUAGUUUUCUAGUGUAUUCCUGUGAAAAUCUGCAUCUUAACACU
rnacentral:lncRNA from 1 species